rnacentral:lncRNA from 1 species
AAACUAGCUGACUUGAGAACCGAUUAUGAAGUUAUGAAGUUUUGAAAAACACCUAUAGUAACAGUUAUGUCACGAUAGGCCCGUUAGUGACAGAUUUAAAUUAUUUUAAAUUUUUCAAUUUCUGGAAAAUUCAAAAAUGAUUAAAAGUAAAAUGUUUGAUAUUUACAGAUGUUGAGGUAUAGAAUAAGAGUCUUAGACUCAGUAAUUACCCGAUAAAGCUGUCGGUACGCCGACAAAUGUCAGACCCUAUAAUAGAAAGAAAAGGUUUCUGUAAGAGCAUGGAUGAGAUAUUUAAAAAAUGUAUAAAAGUAUAGAUUAUGAACUAAAAGUAUGAUCACUGCGAUUAUGUGAUGACGUGAUUAGACUAUGUGCUGACUGUAAUAGACAGUACUAUGUGUUAUGAUAUAUUGUUCUAAUCAAACGAAUGAUCUGAUUAUUGAUAGGUUGUGAUAAAGAGAUAAAACUUGAGUUGAGAUUUGUAAUCAGUGAAUCAGGCAAGUAUCCUACCUUUGUAUUUCCUUUAUGCAAUGGACACGAGUAAGAAGUUUCAGAAUUAUUCUAUUCAUGUACAGAUUAUGUACGCUUUGAUUAUCAACAUGUUAGCUCAGAUAUAUAUUAUGUUAAGUUGAUUUCUAAAUGGUUAUACAAGUGUCCCCACUUGGAUAAUCAUGGCAUUUAUUCACAUGUUGAUAUACCUUUGUCAAUUACCCGUAUAUAUAUAUGUUGAAUUACAUAUUAUUGUUGAGCAAGAUUAAAAACCUUCGGGUUUGGAACCAGGCAUGUAUGAACAUCCCUAUAUGGGAAGAUUUUUGCGCAAGGCGGAUAGAGUGAGCGAUGAAUUUCGUUCAAGUUAUGUAGUAUUGAUCAAUACAGGGUACAACGGGGCUGAUCACCCUCCGUG